rnacentral:rRNA from 1 species
CAGCCGCCGCGGUAAUACAGAGGGUGCGAGCGUUAAUCGGAUUUACUGGGCGUAAAGCGUGCGUAGGCGGCUUCUUAAGUCGGAUGUGAAAUCCCUGAGCUUAACUUAGGAAUUGCAUUCGAUACUGGGAAGCUAGAGUAUGGGAGAGGAUGGUAGAAUUCCAGGUGUAGCGGUGAAAUGCGUAGAGAUCUGGAGGAAUACCGAUGGCGAAGGCAGCCAUCUGGCCUAAUACUGACGCUGAGGUACGAAAGCAUGGGGAGCAAACAGGAUUAGAGAUCCCAGUAGUCCCUGUCUCUUAUAC